CCCUUAGAUGUUCUGGGCUGCACGCGUGCUACACUGAUAUUGCCAAUAUGUCAUUCUUAUCCGAAAUGGAUUGGGUAAUCAAGUAAUGAAAUUUCAUGCUUGGAAUCGGUAAUUGCAAUUUUAUCGUGAACGAGGAAUUCCUAGUAAGCACUAGUCAUCAGCUAAUGUUGAUUAUUUCCCUGCCCUUUGUACACACCGCCCGUCGCUACUACUGAUUGGGUGUUCAAGUGAGAUGCUUAGACCCUUGUUGCAUGGUUCAUUAUUGUGCUCCGAAAGGAAAAAGUUUCAAGCUUGAGUGUCUAGAGGAAGUAAAAGUCGUAACA
rnacentral:rRNA from 1 species